UACACUUAUGAAAUUUUGGCUAAAAACACUAUUUGCAUUGGAUUUGGACUCUGCAUGCCCUUACAAAAUGUUGCAUAGUUUCGGAAUCGUGUACUCAGGGGAAGCAGUUUUGGUUUUAAAAGUUGCGCCAGAUUUAUCAUGAAACAAGUUGAGAGGGGGCUGAAUUAGCCCCCCCCCCCCCCCCCAGUCUUCUUAGGGUUAACUCAGCCAAUGAUAAAUAAUGAUGCGCACACAUACAAAAUAAAGCAAUGAAAUGAUUUCAGCCAAUUACCAAAGUCGCAAGUACAAAAGUAUUCAAUAUGUACUCUGCUCAGCGGGUUUACAGUGAAUGUAAGAACAAAUAAAUACAAUGUCAAAUCCAUUACCCACUUCUACUCAUAUUGAGGCAUUACAGGUAUAUAGCCUCAAAAUGUCUUUUGAGCUUCAAGGAAUGAUCUGUAUUGUAUAAAAUGCAGCUAUAAGCUCACUUCAUCAUGGAGAUUUCAUGAUGAUAAUGAUAAAAAUAUGCAAAGUUUACAUAGAUUUGUUUCUGAAUGCUGCAUAAUAACAUGAAAGUUAUAUUAUAUCACACUCACUAAAUCAGAAAUGUCUAUGGUAACAUUUCAUGAGUCCCAUAAACACAAUGCUUGAAGCAUACACACAAAGGAGCUCUAAGCAACCCUGAGGGGAAAUGGUCAC